rnacentral:rRNA from 1 species
CAGUAGCCGCGGUAAUACGGAGGAUCCAAGCGUUAUCCGGAAUCAUUGGGUUUAAAGGGUCCGUAGGCGGUCUUGUAAGUCAGUGGUGAAAGCCCAUCGCUCAACGGUGGAACGGCCAUUGAUACUGCAGGACUUGAAUUAUUGGGAAGUAACUAGAAUAUGUAGUGUAGCGGUGAAAUGCUUAGAGAUUACAUGGAAUACCAAUUGCGAAGGCAGGUUACUACCAAUUGAUUGACGCUGAUGGACGAAAGCGUGGGUAGCGAACAGGAUUAGAUACCCCAGUAGUCCCUGUCUCUUAUAA